rnacentral:rRNA from 1 species
AACGAACGCUGGCGGCGUGCUUAACACAUGCAAGUCGCACGAGAAAACCGUAGCAAUACGGUGAGUAAAGUGGCGCACGGGUCAUUAACACGUGGAUAAUCAACCUCUGGGAGGGGGACAACCUGUCGAAAGACGGGCUAAUACCCCGUAAGACCACGGGAUCUUCGGGUCCUGAGGUAAAAGGCGGCCUCUACUUGUAAGCUGUCGCCUGGAGACGAGUCCGCGCACCAUUAGCUUGUUGGUAGGGUAACGGCCUACCAAGGCCAAGAUGGUUAGCUGGUCUGAGAGGACGACCAGCGACACUGGAACUGAGACACGGUCCAGACUCCUACGGGAGGCAG